UCGAGCGAAUGGAUUAAGAGCUUGCUCUUAUGAAGUUAGCGGCGGACGGGUGAGUAACACGUGGGUAACCUACCCAUAAGACUGGGAUAACUCCGGGAAACCGGGGCUAAUACCGGAUAAUAUUUUGAACUGCAUAGUUCGAAAUUGAAAGGCGGCUUCGGCUGUCACUUAUGGAUGGACCCGCGUCGCAUUAGCUAGUUGGUGAGGUAACGGCUCACCAAGGCAACGAUGCGUAGCCGACCUGAGAGGGUGAUCGGCCACACUGGGACUGAGACACGGCCCAGACUCCUACGGGAGGCAGCAGUAGGGAAUCUUCCGCAAUGGACGAAAGUCUGACGGAGCAACGCCGCGUGAGUGAUGAAGGCUUUCGGGUCGUAAAACUCUGUUGUUAGGGAAGAACAAGUGCUAGUUGAAUAAGCUGGCACCUUGACGGUACCUAACCAGAAAGCCACGGCUAACUACGUGCCAGCAGCCGCGGUAAUACGUAGGUGGCAAGCGUUAUCCGGAAUUAUUGGGCGUAAAGCGCGCGCAGGUGGUUUCUUAAGUCUGAUGUGAAAGCCCACGGCUCAACCGUGGAGGGUCAUUGGAAACUGGGAGACUUGAGUGCA
rnacentral:rRNA from 1 species